rnacentral:rRNA from 1 species
AAAGGAAUUGACGGGGGCCCGCACAAGCGGUGGAGUAUGUGGUUUAAUUCGAAGCAACGCGAAGAACCUUACCAGGCCUUGACAUCCCCUGCGAAGGUGCAGAGAUGUACCGGAGGGUAUCAGGGAGACAGGUGGUGCAUGGUUGUCGUCAGCUCGUGUCGUGAGAUGUUGGGUCAAGUCCCGCAACGAGCGCAACCCCUGUGAUAUGUUACUAACAUCAGGUUGAGGACUCAUAUCAGACUGCCGGUGACAAACCGGAGGAAGGUGGGGAUGACGUCAAAUCAUCAUGCCCCUUAUGGCCUGGGCUACACACGUACUACAAUGGCGGAUACAGAGGGCGGCGACAGCGUGAGCUGAAGCGAAUCCCUAAAAGUCCGUCCCAGUUCGGAUUGAAGUCUGCAACCCGACUUCAUGAAGUUGGAAUCGCUAGUAAUCGCGGAUCAGCAUGCCGCGGUGAAUACGUUCUCGGGCCUUGUACACACCGCCCGU